UGGGGAAUUUUGGACAAUGGGCGAAAGCCUGAUCCAGCAAUGCCGCGUGUGUGAAGAAGGCCUUCGGGUUGUAAAGCACUUUUGUCCGGAAAGAAAUCCUUGGCUCUAAUACAGUCGGGGGAUGACGGUACCGGAAGAAUAAGCACCGGCUAACUACGUGCCAGCAGCCGCGGUAAUACGUAGGGUGCAAGCGUUAAUCGGAAUUACUGGGCGUAAAGCGUGCGCAGGCGGUUUGCUAAGACCGAUGUGAAAUCCCCGGGCUCACCUGGGAACUGCAUUGGUGACUGGCAGGCUAGAGUAUGGCAGAGGGGGGUAGAAUUCCACGUGUAGCAGUGAAAUGCGUAGAGAUGUGGAGGAAUACCGAUGGCGAAGGCAGCCCCCUGGGCCAAGUACUGACGCUCAUGCACGAAAGCGUGGGGAGCAAAC
rnacentral:rRNA from 1 species